UACGAGGGAUGCAAGCGUUAUCCGGAAUUAUUGGGCGUAAAGCGUUUGUAGGCGGGCGAGUGUGUUUAAUGUUAAAUCUUAAAGCUCAACUUUGAAAUUGCGUUAAAAACUGCUUGUCUUGAGUAUGGUAGGGGUAAAGGGAAUUCCCAGUGUAGCGGUGAAAUGCGUAGAUAUUGGGAAGAACACUAAACAGCGAAGGCACUUUACUAGGCUAAUACUGACGCUGAGAAACGAAAGGUAAGGUAGCGAAACGGAUUAGAUACCCGUGUAGUCUUACCCGUAAACUAUGGACACUAAACGGUAAAUUUUUAAUUUACUGUUAAAGCUAACGCGCUAAGUGUCCCGCCUGGGGAGUAUGCUUGCAAAAGUGAAACUCAAAGGAAUUGACGGGGGCCCGCACAAGCGGUGGAGCAUGUGGUUUAAUUCGACGGUACACGAAGAACCUUACCAGGAUUUGACAUGCUAGAUAGUUGCUUGAAAGAGUAACGUGCCGUAAGGAAUCUAGACACAGGUGGUGCAUGGCUGUCGUCAGUUCGUGUUGUGAAAUGUUGGGUUAAGUCCCGCAACGAACGCAACCCUUGUCUUUAGUUAUUUUCUAAAGAGACUGCCUGUAAUAAACAGGAGGAAGGUAAGGAUGAGGUCAAGUCAUCAUGCCCCUUAUGUCCUGGGCUACACACGUGCUACAAUGGGAAAGACAAUGAGCUGCAAAUCUGUAAAUUUAAGCAAAUCUCUUAAACUUUCUCGUAGUUCGGAUUGUGGGCUGCAACUCGCCCACAUGAAGUUGGAAUCGCUAGUAAUCGCCAGUCAGCUAUAUGGCGGUGAAUCCGUUCCCGGGCCU
rnacentral:rRNA from 1 species